CAAAGUGAAGUCCACUUUACACUGACCCUGUCUGAACCAAACCAACCCGGCUGUAGCUUGAAGCUGCGUUGAAAUUGUUAAGAUUUCACACUCUUGAUUGCGAUCGACAGUACCAACCACUCUUUUUUCCCCUUUAUAAACUGCAUUUUCACUAGAGGAAUCCACUAGGACAACAUUCAACACUAGCACUCCAUUACAUCUUUGUCUUCCCCAAAAAUUCCUUUCGUAUCUACAAUCACAGCUCCCCAAAUGGUUACUUUUCUUGCUUACUCUAGCUAGGUAAGUGUGCUUUCUAACAUUCCUUGCAAACCCCAGUUUCCUUUAUUCUGUCAUUUUUUUGGGUAGUUAAGAAUACCAUGAAUCUUUUUUUGCGUCAUUUCUUCUUGCUGUUGUGGUGUUGCUUUGUGUCUGUAUGUACUAAUAGUGUCUCCGGUUUGAACUAUGAUGGCUUGGCUCUGAUGUCACUCUUGAGGAAAUGGGAUUCUGUGCCUACUUCCGUUACUUCAAGUUGGAAUUCUUCAGACUCGACUCCUUGUUCUUGGCUAGGUAUAGGAUGUGAUCAUAGAAGUCAUUGUGUGGUUUCUUUGAACCUUUCUGGCUUAGGAAUUUCUGGUCCUUUGGGACCUGAAAUUGGGCAGUUAAAGCAGUUAAAGACUGUUGAUUUGAACACCAAUUAUUUCUCUGGUGAUAUACCCUCACAGUUGGGAAAAUGUAGUCUCCUUGAGUACUUGGAUUUGUCUGCAAAUAGCUUUACUGGUGGAAUACCUGAUAGCUUUAAGUACUUGCAAAAUUUACAAACAUUGAUUCUUUUCUCUAAUUCACUGUCUGGUGAAAUACCUGAAUCAUUGUUCCAAGAUUUGGCUUUACAAGUUUUGUAUUUGGACACCAAUAAAUUCAAUGGUUCCAUUCCUAGGAGUGUUGGUAACUUGACUGAGCUUUUAGAACUGACCUUAUUUGGAAAUCAAUUGUCUGGGUCAAUCCCUGAGUCUAUUGGAAAUUGUAGAAAAUUGCAAUCUCUCUCUCUGAGUAAUAACAAGUUAAGUGGUUCUUUGCCUGAGAUUCUAACUAAUCUUGAAAGCCUUGUUGAAUUAUUUGUUAGUCAUAAUAGUCUUGAGGGUAGAAUUCCUUUAGGUUUCGGCAAAUGCAAGAAUUUGGAAACCUUAGAUUUGUCAUUCAAUAGCUAUAGUGGGGGUCUUCCACCAGAUUUAGGCAAUUGUAGUAGCUUAGCAACCUUGACCAUUAUCCAUAGCAACUUAAGAGGCGCUAUCCCAUCUUCCUUUGGCCAACUGAAAAAGCUUUCUUUGCUCGACCUUUCUGAGAAUCGACUGUCUGGGACGAUUCCUCCUGAACUUAGUAAUUGCAAGUCCUUGAAGACCUUAAAUUUAUACACAAAUGAGCUUGAGGGAAAGAUUCCGAGUGAGUUGGGGAGGCUAAACAAAUUGGAGGACCUCGAAUUGUUCAGCAAUCAUUUGAGUGGUGAAAUUCCUAUUAGCAUCUGGAAGAUUGCGAGCCUUAAGUGCCUCCUUGUGUAUAACAACAGUCUUUCCGGUGAAUUGCCUCUUGAGAUCACUCAUCUCAAGAACCUAAAGAACUUGUCACUAUACAACAACCAGUUCUUUGGUGUCAUACCCCAAAGUUUGGGAAUCAACAGCAGUUUGUUGCAGCUGGACUUCACAGAUAAUAAGUUCACAGGUGAAGUUCCCCCAAACCUUUGCCAUGGAAAGCAGUUGAGAGUUCUUAAUAUGGGCCGGAACCAACUUCAAGGCAGCAUUCCUUCUGAUGUGGGAGGCUGCUUAACACUCUGGAGAUUGAUCCUCAGGGAGAACAACCUCUCAGGUGCCCUUCCAGAAUUUUCAGAAAAUCCAAUCCUCUAUCACAUGGACAUCAGCAAAAAUAAUAUUACAGGCCCAAUUCCACCCAGCAUUGGGAACUGUUCUGGUCUCACUUUCAUUCAUCUUUCCAUGAACAAGCUUACAGGGUUUAUACCCUCAGAGCUAGGAAAUCUUGUAAACCUUCUGGUAGUGGAUCUUUCAUCCAACCAACUGGAAGGUUCUUUGCCAUCGCAGCUGUCAAAGUGUCACAACCUAGGCAAGUUUGAUGUAGGGUUCAAUUCACUGAAUGGCUCAGUUCCAUCGAGUUUAAGGAACUGGACCAGCUUGUCCACUUUGAUUUUAAAAGAGAAUCAUUUUAUUGGGGGAAUUCCACCUUUCCUCUCAGAACUUGAAAAGCUUACAGAGCUACAACUUGGUGGAAAUUUUCUGGGAGGUGAGAUUCCUUCAUGGAUUGGGUCUUUACAGAGUCUGCAAUAUGCAUUGAAUCUCAGCAGUAAUGGAUUGUUUGGAGAGCUUCCUUCAGAGCUGGGGAACUUGAUCAAGCUUGAACAGCUUCAGUUAUCAAACAAUAAUCUGACAGGAACUCUAGCACCUCUUGAUAAAAUCCAUUCGUUGGUCCAGGUCGAUAUUUCAUACAAUCACUUCAGUGGUCCAAUACCAGAAACACUAAUGAACUUGCUUAACUCAUCGCCGUCAUCAUUCUGGGGCAAUCCCGAUCUAUGUGUCAGUUGUCUUCCAUCAGGUGGCUUAACAUGCACCAAAAAUAGAAGUAUCAAGCCAUGUGACUCUCAGUUAAGCAAGCGAGACAGCUUUUCUAGAGUGGCUGUCGUGCUGAUAGCUAUUGCUUCUGUGGUUGCUGUUUUCAUGCUUGUUGGACUGGUUUGCAUGUUUAUCUUGUGCAGAAGAUGUAAGCAGGAUCUUGGGAUCAACCAUGAUGUUGAAAUUGCUGCUCAAGAGGGCCCUUCUUCCCUACUCAACAAAGUGAUGCAAGCUACUGAGAAUCUAAAUGACAGACAUAUCGUUGGGAGGGGAACCCAUGGAACCGUUUAUAAGGCUUCAUUGGGUGGAGACAAAAUCUUUGCAGUUAAGAAGAUAGUAUUUACAGGCCACAAAGGAGGAAACAAAAGUAUGGUUACAGAAAUUCAAACCAUUGGGAAAAUUAGGCACCGGAAUCUGCUGAAAUUGGAAGGCUUUUGGUUACGGAAGGAUUAUGGUCUGAUCCUGUAUGCCUACAUGCAAAAUGGGAGCGUUCAUGAUGUCUUACAUGGGAGCACACCACCGCAAACCUUGGAGUGGAGCGUACGCCAUAAAAUAGCUUUAGGAACUGCCCAUGGUUUGGAAUAUCUCCACUAUGACUGCAAUCCUCCUAUUGUGCAUCGAGACAUCAAACCAGAAAACAUUCUCUUAGACUCUGAUAUGGAGCCUCAUAUCUCUGAUUUCGGUAUAGCUAAGCUACUUGAUCAGUCUUCUGCUUCAGCACAGUCUUUCCUGGUUGCAGGCACAAUUGGAUAUAUAGCACCAGAAAACGCCUUGUCGACAAUAAAGAGCAAGGAAUCGGAUGUUUAUAGCUAUGGGGUUGUUUUGCUUGAGCUGAUAACUAGAAAGAAGGCAUUGGAUCCAUUAUUUGUGGGGGAAACAGAUAUUGUAGAGAGGGUCAGAUCUGUUUGGAGCAGCACAGAAGACAUCAACAAGAUUGCUGAUUCAAGCCUAAGGGGGGAGUUUUUGGAUUCAAGUAUCAUGAAUCAAGCCAUUGAUGUGCUUUUGGUGGCUUUGAGAUGCACUGAAAAGGCGCCUAGCAGAAGACCCACAAUGAGAGAUGUUGUCAAGCAAUUAGUAAAAAGAAACGCCAGCAUUAGAGGCAAACGCAGCUGAAGUUUUGUAGGGUUUUUUUAGAAUAUUAGCCCCUUUUUUUUUUUUUUUUUUAAUAUAAGUAUUUAGGCCAGUUUGUAGAAACUUAUAAGUUUCUAGUAGUUAUUAUAUAAAUAAUUACAAGAUUUGAACCUAAAAUAAAAAACAAAUAUUUUAAUUUCAAACUCUUGCUUAGCGUUACCAUAUCUUGUGAAAUGAACCAAAUGGAAUAAAGCAAUGAUAUGUAUAUAUAAGAUGUUUUUAACUUUUUAUUCCACUCGUUUUUGACCGUUGAUCUGCCUGGACACCCAGGUUUAACAAACCUGGAUCGACUUUUAUCAGAUUUUUUUUUUAAAAAAAAAACUCAUCUCAAAUGCUAAGUUCUACCCCCAUACCACCCAAACAUUUAAAAAGAUUCAACGAAGAAGAAAAUUUUCGAGAGAAAAAAAGGGCAAGAAGACUCCUUUCCAAGUUGGCUUUCCACGCUGUCUCCGCCGAAACCGAUGACCGAAACCACCGCAUUAACAACCCGAGCCACAACCUUCGUGUCCUCCUUCAACAAGGCGGCAACGAAAUCGCUUAUAACUUCACCAGAUCUCUCAUCCUCUCCGCCUUCUCUCUCUGUUUUCUCUUUCUUCUUCCUCUCUCGGAUAUGCUACGUUUUAUAUGUUCUGGGUCUGAAUUGCGCGGUUUUACGAUCUCAUGAGGCGAGAAGGCCGGCUUCCUUCGUUUGGUUAUUUGAGAAAAAAUGUUGAAUCUAUGGUGGAAUCCAAGAAACUUGAUAAGGUUCUUGAUGCGCUGUGGAGUUGUUCGAGGCUAUGAAGAGGAGGAAAGCUGGUCCUAAUGUGUUUGCUUACAAUGUUUUGAUUGGUGGGUUGUGGAAGGAGAAGAGGAAAGGAUUGCAGAGAAGGUGUGUGAGGGAUUUGGCGCCGAAAAGGGUGGCUUUUAAUAAGCUUAUUGGUGGGUAUUGUAAGGUUGGGGAGGUGGAUAGGGCUUAUAGCUUGAAAGAGAGGAUGAAGAGGUGGAAGUUGUUACUUUUAACUCGUCGCUUAGUGGCUUUGUAAGGUGCGGAGAAUGGAGGAGGCGAGGAGUAUGUUGAAGGAGAUGGAAAGUAAUGGUUUUAUUGUGAACGGUAAUUGUCAGAUUGGUAUAGAGAAAUGCUUGAGAACGGUUUCCGUCCUAUUGUCUGCAUCAGCUUAGAAAGGGAGGGGGGGUUGCAAGAGGCCCGGAUUGUCAGCUCUGAAAUGAUUGUGAAUGGAAUGGAUGAUUUGAACAGUAAUGAGGAGCUGUCUGCUGUUGCCAAGAUACAAGAGGUGUUCUUGGAACGGCCAUUUUUCAGCUACAAGUAUCAGCUUUGCUAAUUGGUUUUCGAUUUCUCAUCUGCUUCUUUGCUACGCAACUGGUUAUGUGGUCGAGUUUUUUCUGGGUCUACUCUCUGUUUCUGAUUUGCGAGGUGAUGCGAUGUGCUCAGUGAAUUUCCUUUCCUUUUGCCUGUUUUGUCUCUGCUUUCCAUCCUCUUUGUUACCUACGAUGUGCAGGGCUUGCUGUGCAUUGCUUGGCUACUCUUACAGUGCUCCACUGAUUUCACAGGCUUUUGUUUUGAUCACUUGGUUCUUUUAACGACGGGUUCAUAUUUUUCUUAACUAUCCAUCAAGGCUAGGUGCAUGCAGAUCCUGGGAUAACAAGAAUUACUCAUGCUUUGAUGGUGUUCUUGUGGAUGCUGAGGGAUGUUAAGCUCCAUUUGUUCAGUUUUAAUUAUCAUGAUUGCAAGGUGCAAUGUUUUAUUUUAUCCCUUAAAGAGUUGGUUUUCAAAAUACCAUCUCAAUAUAAAGCAGGUUAAAUAUCAUUCGGACCUAAACCACUCACCAGCCAGCUAGACUAGCAAUACUAGUACAAGAUAAAUAAGCAAUGAAACUACAUAUGCAUCUGCCCUUUCCUUAUAUAUUUUGUUAAUACACUAAUUUCACUUCACUUCUGGUCUGAAUCUUGGUAGGGUAAUGCACAUGACCAUGGAUGUGAAGGACGUUGCGAGCUUUUCAGCGGCUUUGGAAGUGGGUGUAGUCUUUGAGAUCCCAGGCUUCUAUGGAAUGCCGAAUCUUCUAGCAUUGUUGCUGCUAACAACUGCAUGUUGUGUUAUUGAUGAAGAAAACAAUCUACAUUGGAAAGGAGCUCGCGAAGAUUGGCGUUCGAUACCGUGCUAUAGGUUUGACAUUGACAGUUCCUUGUUUAUCGGUCCAGGUCAAUAUUUCAUGCAAUCAUUUUGCAGGUCCAAUGCCUGAAUGAAUACUGAUGAACUUGCUCAA